rnacentral:misc_RNA from 1 species
AAUUCUUAAAAUCCAGCAAAACUAGAUCACUAACGAUCACAUUGACUUGAAUAUGCACUAAAAUUCCCUGGAAAAGAAACCCAAGUUAGGAAAAUAGUGAAAUGACCAAGAUAAAUAAGUUUGCUCAAUGAGUUAGAAGUUUUAUUCUUGAACUUUUAAAUGUUUUACCGAGAUAGAAGGACAAGUACCUGUGUAUGAAUCUUUUGGAAGUAGACUCUACUAUAAAGAAUACAGUGGAUAGAAGCAUGACCUGCUAAUGCGCUGAGCACCGUUUGCAUUUGUUCAACA